rnacentral:rRNA from 1 species
UGGGGAAUUUUGGACAAUGGGCGAAAGCCUGAUCCAGCAAUUCCGCGUGAGUGAAGAAGGCCUUCGGGUUGUAAAGCUCUUUUGUCAGGGCAGAAACGGUGAGGGCUAAUAUCCCUUGCUAAUGACGGUACCUGAAGAAUAAGCACCGGCUAACUACGUGCCAGCAGCCGCGGUAAUACGUAGGGUGCACGCGUUAAUCGGAAUUACUGGGCGUAAAGCGUGCGCAGGCGGUUUUGUAAGUCUGAUGUGAAAUCCCCGGGCUCAACCUGGGAAUUGCAUUGGAGACUGCAAGGCUAGAAUCUGGCAGAGGGGGGUAGAAUUCCACGUGUAGCAGUGAAAUGCGUAGAUAUGUGGAGGAACACCGAUGGCGAAGGCAGCCCCCUGGGUCAAGAUUGACGCUCAUGCACGAAAGCGUGGGGAGCAAACA